rnacentral:rRNA from 1 species
GACGAACGCUGGCGGCGUGCCUAAUACAUGCAAGUUGAGCGCUGAAGACUGGUACUUGUACCGGUUGGAUGAGCAGCGAACGGGUGAGUAACGCGUGGGUAACCUGCCCUAUAGAGGGGGAUAACUGGAGGAAACUUUAGCUAAUACCGCAUAAAAUCUAAUAACACAUGUUAUAAGAUUGAAAGUGCCAAAUGGUACACUAUAGGAUGGACCCGGGUAGUAUUAGCUAGUUGGUGAGGUAAUAGCUCACCAAGGCGAUGAUACAUAGCCGACCUGAGAGGGUGAUCGGCUACACUGGGACUGAGACACGGCCCAGACUCCUACGGGAGGCAGCAGUAGGGAAUCGUCGGCAAUGGACGAAAGUCUGACCGAGCAACGCCGCGUGAGUGAAGAAGGUUUUCGGAUCGUAAAACUCUGUUGUAAGAGAAGAACACCAGUAAGAGUGGAAAGCUUACUGGCUGACGGUAUCUUACCAGAAAGCCACGGCUAACUACGUGCCAGCCGCCGCGGUAAUAC